rnacentral:snRNA from 1 species
GGAUGUGAGGGCGAUCUGGCUGCAACAUCUCUCACCCCACUGAUCACCAGGGUUGAUUCGACUGAUCUGCCCGGUUAGGUGCAUGCCCCCUUCCUCCCUCACCGCUCCAUGUGUGUCCCUCCCGAAGCUGGGUGCUCCGUCAAAGAGGAUGACCUUCCCCGAUAGAGGAGGACUGUCUUCGGUCAAGGGUAUAAAAGUAGCUGCGCUCCCCUGCUAGAACUUCCAAACAAGCUCCCAAGAAAUAUUCAAGUGCAUUUGUUGACAGAGACAGUAAAUUAGUUAUUACAGAAACUCUGAAAUCAGUAAGGGAUCAAGUAGUCAGAAGAAGCCCAAUAG